GACGAACGCUGGCGGCGUGCUUAACACAUGCAAGUCGAACGGAAAGGCCCUGCUUUUGUGGGGUGCUCGAGUGGCGAACGGGUGAGUAACACGUGAGUAACCUGCCCUUGACUUUGGGAUAACUUCAGGAAACUGGGGCUAAUACUGGAUAGGAGCUCCUGCUGCAUGGUGGGGGUUGGAAAGUUUCGGCGGUUGGGGAUGGACUCGCGGCUUAUCAGCUUGUUGGUGGGGUAGUGGCUUACCAAGGCUUUGACGGGUAGCCGGCCUGAGAGGGUGACCGGCCACAUUGGGACUGAGAUACGGCCCAGACUCCUACGGGAGGCAGCAGUGGGGAAUAUUGCACAAUGGGCGGAAGCCUGAUGCAGCAACGCCGCGUGCGGGAUGACGGCCUUCGGGUUGUAAACCGCUUUCGCCUGUGACGAAGCGUGAGUGACGGUAAUGGGUAAAGAAGCACCGGCUAACUACGUGCCAGCAGCCGCGGUGAUACGUAGGGUGCGAGCGUUGUCCGGAUUUAUUGGGCGUAAAGGGCUCGUAGGUGGUUGAUCGCGUCGGAAGUGUAAUCUUGGGGCUUAACCCUGAGCGUGCUUUCGAUACGGGUUGACUUGAGGAAGGUAGGGGAGAAUGGAAUUCCUGGUGGAGCGGUGGAAUGCGCAGAUAUUAGGAGGAACACCAGUGGCGAAGGCGGUUCUCUGGGCCUUUCCUGACGCUGAGGAGCGAAAGCGUGGGGAGCGAACAGGCUUAGAUACCCUGGUAGUCCACGCUGUAAACGGUGGGUACUAGGUGUGGGGUCCAUUCCACGGGUUCCGUGCCGUAGCUAACGCUUUAAGUACCCCGCCUGGGGAGUACGGCCGCAAGGCUAAAACUCAAAGGAAUUGACGGGGCCCCGCACAAGCGGCGGAGCAUGCGGAUUAAUUCGAUGCAACGCGUAGAACCUUACCUGGGUUUGACAUGGAUCGGGAGCGCUCAGAGAUGGGUGUGCCUCUUUUGGGGUCGGUUCACAGGUGGUGCAUGGCUGUCGUCAGCUCGUGUCGUGAGAUGUUGGGUUAAGUCCCGCAACGAGCGCAACCCUUGUUCACUGUUGCCAGCACGUUAUGGUGGGGACUCAGUGGAGACCGCCGGGGUCAACUCGGAGGAAGGUGGGGAUGACGUCAAGUCAUCAUGCCCCUUAUGUCCAGGGCUUCACGCAUGCUACAAUGGCUGGUACAGAGAGUGGCGAGCCUGUGAGGGUGAGCGAAUCUCGGAAAGCCGGUCUCAGUUCGGAUUGGGGUCUGCAACUCGACCUCAUGAAGUCGGAGUCGCUAGUAAUCGCAGAUCAGCAACGCUGCGGUGAAUACGUUCCCGGG
rnacentral:rRNA from 1 species